rnacentral:rRNA from 1 species
UUGACCUCGGAUCAGGUAGGACUACCCGCUGAACUUAAGCAUAUCAAUAAGCGGAGGAAAAGAAACCAACAGGGAUUGCCUCAGUAACGGCGAGUGAAGCGGCAACAGCUCAGAUUUGGAAUCUGGCCCCCAGGGCCCGAGUUGUAAUCUGGAGAGGAUGCUUCUGGCGCGGCGCCUUCCGAGUUCCCUGGAACGGGACGCCGGAGAGGGUGAGAGCCCCGUACGGUCGGACGCCCAGCCUCUGUGAAGCUCCUUCGACGAGUCGAGUAGUUUGGGAAUGCUGCUCAAAAUGGGAGGUAAAUUUCUUCUAAAGCUAAAUACCGGCCAGAGACCGAUAGCGCACAAGUAGAGUGAUCGAAAGAUGAAAAGCACUUUGAAAAGAGGGUUAAACAGUACGUGAAAUUGUUGAAAGGGAAGCGCCCGUGGCCAGACUUGCGCCCCGCGGACCACCCGGCGUUCUCGCCGGUGCACUCCGCGAGGCGCAGGCCAGCAUCGGUUCUCCCAGGGGGACAAAGGCUGCGGGAACGUAGCUCCUACGGGAGUGUUAUAGCCCGCGGCGCCAUGCCCCUGGGGGGACCGAGGACCGCGCUUCGGCAAGGAUGCUGGCGUAAUGGCCACCGGC